rnacentral:rRNA from 1 species
AGUGAACGCUGGCGGUAGGCCUAACACAUGCAAGUCGAACGGCAGCACAGUAAGAGCUUGCUCUUACGGGUGGCGAGUGGCGGACGGGUGAGGAAUAUAUCGGAAUCUACUUUUUCGUGGGGGAUAACGUAGGGAAACUUACGCUAAUACCGCAUACGACCUACGGGUGAAAGCAGGGGAUCUUCGGACCUUGCGCGAUUGAAUGAGCCGAUGUCGGAUUAGCUAGUUGGCGGGGUAAAGGCCCACCAAGGCGACGAUCCGUAGCUGGUCUGAGAGGAUGGUCAGCCACACUAGAACUUAGACACGGUCCAGACUCCUACGGGAGGCAGCAGUGGGGAAUAUUGGACAAUGGGCGCAAGCCUGAUCCAGCCAUACCGCGUGGGUGAAGAAGGCCUUCGGGUUGUAAAGCCCUUUUGUUGGGAAAGAAAAGCAGCAGGUUAAUACCCCGCUGCUCUGACGGUACCCAAAGAAUAAGCACCGGCUAACUUCGUG